rnacentral:hammerhead_ribozyme from 1 species
GUACUGAUGAGGAGUCGCAGACUAGGACGAAACAGCUGUCCAUUAC